rnacentral:lncRNA from 1 species
AUGCGAGAAUAUAUUAAAUACCGAGGAGCCAAGAUUAUUGAUCUCAGCCAGGUGACAGGCCCCAAGGCCACGCAGGAGGAGAAGUGGAUCAAUUACGUUAAUGUGAUCAACUUCAUCAAGCCUUGGAGGGCAGCCGGGAAACCUUUCGUGUGUGACCGACUCUGGUUGUGGACCAGCUAAAGGAGGAAAAGAGAAAGAAAGAAAAAAAGAGAGGAGGAGGAAAACAAGGACAGCCCGUGAGAUCUUGGUACUUUAAUUAAACUUGACCGCACCCAGGAAAGGACACGUCAACUGUCGGUUCUCUGCUUUUUUUGGGGGGGGGACAAAAACAAGGGCCCUGCUGGGGGGAAAAGAAAUGGCUCCUUCUCAACCAAGGGAUGGCAAAGCUGAGGGUUAAAAACCAGCCAGGCUCCCCAUUCAGCAAAGAGUAAACAUGUCCUUGCUUUUUUUCUCCAGUGUUUUGCAA